rnacentral:rRNA from 1 species
AGCAGCCGCGGUAAUUCCAGCUCCAAUAGCGUAUAUUAAAGUUGUUGCAGUUAAAAAGCUCGUAGUUGAAUUUCGGGAUUGACACAUCGGUCGUGCCUUAAGGGGUAUGAACUGGUGUAGUCAAUUUCUCACCUUCUGGAGAACCGCGAUGCCCUUAAUUGGGUGUCACGGGGAACCAGGACCUUUACUUUGAAAAAAUUAGAGUGUUUAAAGCAGGCAUUUAUGCUUGAAUACAUUAGCAUGGAAUAAUAGAAUAGGACGGCAUGGUUCUAUUUUGUUGGUUUCUAGGAUCACCGUAAUGAUUAAUAGGGAUAGUUGGGGGCAUUAGUAUUCAAUUGUCAGAGGUGAAAUUCUUGGAUUUAUUGAAGACUAACUACUGCGAAAGCAUUUGCCAAGGAUGUUUUCAUUAAUCAAGAACGAAAGUUAGGGGAUCGAAGACGAUCAGAUACC